CUCGCGGUAAAAAAAAACAGUGCCAUGGUUUUCUUAACUUAUAUCAAUCUCAUGAUGUAAUAGGAAACAAGUUUUAUACCUUAUGGUAACGUAUGCUGCAAUUAACCUAUGAAACGGUUCAUUCUUAGUGAUGAAUUGUAAUUCUAAAACAACGAAGCAACUACAAUACACAGGAAGUCGACACUCCUGAAUAAGAUGACUGCCAGAAGAGAAUACUUGGCAACGGAGUAUUUUUUAUUUUAAAAUAAUAUAGACCAGCAGUUAAGUAAACUUUAUCUAAGUUAUUUUGGAUACUUGACAUGAGUAGUAAUAAAACUUAGACGUAAUACACUUGGAACGAAUCCGGAUAAUGCGAUAUCUCACUAAUAGCACACGUCCUACUUUCUCUCGAGGCUGGUCUGUGUCUGGUAAACUUUUAGGAAUCUAAACACUCAUUUAACUCUGCCGCGCAAAAUUAUUUAAAUUCAAGAUUAGUCAUGUAUAUUAAAUUAAUAUAAUUACUAAUGGUAGUGGUAUCUUCGUGAACUUAAUGACGCUUUCCAAGGACAAGCGAGCGAUAGGCAGUAAAGAAUCCAGACUCCAGAGGCUGCAGUUUAUUCUCGCGUUGAAAUACGUUGCACAGAAACAAAAUACCGCAUUCAGAAAAGUAUGUCAUCGCCGAUACAGUAGCAUGUAUAGAUAGAUACACUAAACUAGAAAAAUAGCUGUUUCCUCUAUGUUGUCGUAGUGCUGCAACAGCUUACUUGAACCACUUUGAAAACACAGCCCACACUACUGCGGUCACAUAGCGGUGAGAGACGGCUUGAAACUCUUCAGCGUGUAUUCACAAGUCAUGCUGAUGUCUAGUUAUAUUGAUAAUCUAAUUAAUCAAGACAACGUCAUCUGUAUAGCUCUGCUCUGUGAUUACAAUUGAUAUUAAGCAUGCAAGGACCUCAAUUGUCACGUCAUUAUCUAGUAAUUGAUUUAAAAAGUGAAAGUUUUGUAAGGGUUUGAAGGGCAAACAAUAAAAUUUCAAUGGUAUUUUUAAAAUUCAGCAGAUACUUAUUUGCGAUUUGAAUAUAGGCUCAAUACGGCUUUCCUCUCUUCCAAUAUUAUAUUGGGAGAGCAAUAAGCACAACUACUAGGAGAUGCGCUAAUCACGUAUCCGCAGACGCCGCUAGACAUAUUGAUGUGAAGUUAUGUGAUGCAAGAGCCGCAGUUGUGUUAAAUCAUAACACAUUUAAUGAAUAAACUUUCGUAAUUGCGCUCGUCGUCGAGAGGCGUCGUAUGCAUCGCACACCUGUACAGCGGCCUCGUUCGUGGAGUCAAGAAAACACAAAAAUCCAUAAAGCUAACGGAGAAUACGUCAACCUUCCUCCCGCAGCGCCCCAGACCGCUAACAGGUGGCAAAACACUGCAGCGCAGAUAUAUCAAGUUUACACUUACAAUAGCAAUAUCUGCAAUCUUAUCUUUUACCAACAUAACUCUCACCACUUAAAAUAUACAUACAACCCCUAGGAGCAUGAAUAAAAAACCCCCACUAAGCUACAUAACGUAAACUUUACCAACACAGCUGCACGCGCUUCACACAUUUAACUUUCACAUAAAUACAAAGUUUUCACUUAAAACACACAAAUGAAAAAAAUAAAGAAAAACCAAAAUAUAAAAGUUAGAGAAGCUGAUUCCGCACUGAUGUAGCGCGCCGCAGUGGCCGCUGCAUGCCACUGAUUGGUCAGCGAGGCAGCUCCCGCCAGCGCCAGCCGCCAGCCGCCUCCGACACAACUAGUUGCAAUUAUGAAUACGGGAACUGUUCCCGCGCGACUGCUCGCGAGAUUAAUCACUCUACACGUCGGGUAGGCGCCACUUCUUCAAUUAGCGGGAGGGUAAAAAUGGUACAAAACUAUGAGUUUUGAAUAAAUGAAAAAAACAUAAGUAAGCCUACACCUGUAGCCAUGAAGACGUGAGUAGAGAUAUAACAAUGAGCCACAAUUCAACAAACUUAUUUCCCUCAUGAUAUUAAUCCUAUAAUAAAUCACGAGAAUAUUUUCAUAUCCGUACAAAUUUUCAUCUCGAGCAACGAAUAUAUAUUUCGAAUCAAGAGUCAGAACAGCCAUCCCGACGUUUAUUACCAAGUAUUCAGCAGUAAAAGCGUUCUAACUACACAUUGAAGUUCACAUAAUUCCAACUGCUCCCUAUCGUUGGUUAAUACGGCUUAGUGUAAGUAGUCUCGCCGAGCUUCAUCGCUCGACUCAUAAUCCGCGCUGUCGGUUCUGGCUUACAAAAGUCGCAGAGGCAGAAGACAGGAGGAUGAGUAGGAUCUUAUGUCUACAUAAUCUAAGGAAUAUAUCGCGUUCAAUAAGGUGUGAAUAAUGUUCCAAACUUUGGUAUAGUCGUCAAUUUGUUUGUCAAAAUAUGUGAAAACAUAAGAACUCGUUACAAUUAUAUCGUAUUUUUCGAUAUCCUGAAAGUACAGCUCGUCCAGAUGACGUGUUAGACGCGCGUUAGCAAAAGACGGCGCUUAGAGAACUCGCAUUUGGUAUGUUUUCGAUCGGUGUUCACAUGCUAUACGCCACGUUUUGAUAACGCGCGUCUAGCGGUUGUCAUCUGACCGGGAUCUAAGGCCUACCCUCGUGACACAUCCCUAAAUAACGGGUAAAGCAUCACACGAGUUAAGCCGGCUAAAUCGCGCGACCAGCUCUGAGCUAGCGAUUAACAGCUUCAUUAAAAUCUAGAGCUCCGUGACACACAUUCGGCCGGUCGAGUGGCUGCGAAUGUUGCAAAACGCGACGUCACGUGACAACCCCUUCCCUAACUAAUCGUUACAAUAUACACAAUUAUAAUAAUCUUAAGGUUACUGCGUUUGUCUGAGAGAAAUCGAAAAUAGCGAUAACGCACUAUUGCACUUGUAAAUAAUUUUCAGGUUGUUUUUAUCUCUUGUUAUUAGUUUUUAAUCCUACUAAACAUUUUAUUACAUUGUUAUUGGCAUCAUCCCGUCCUAGUGCCAGGAUCGGCUUUCUCGUUCUAAUGCUACUAUUUGGACCGAUGUUGAGCAUCGUGAGUAGUGAGAUCACUAAUGAUCUUGUUUUCUGCUAAAUUCGCUUUGCGCGUUUUAGACCGUACGCGGGAACGUCGGUGCCCGGCACAGAACGUUUUUAUAAUACGUAUUAAAUUAUCUCAGGCACUUGUUACUAGAUCCUUACAAGAAAUUUUAAUUGUGAAAGACGUGACGAUAAGUUUGACGAUAAAGCCCAACGCACACUAGUUACGGUUCGAAUUCGCUUGUCAGGAAUACUAGCGUGUUAUGAGACGCGCUUACGUCUUGAUUUCUUGGUAUAGGACACGUUAAGAAAUCAAUAAUUAAGCAAAAAAUAUUUUUCUAAUAUAACUUACACAAUCAUAUAAGCGUUUUCGGUGUAAUUUUCUUGUAAACUUAUAUUAGAAUUGAAAUAAAUAAAACAAAAUGCCGGCAGAAUGAGUUUAUUGUAGAUACCCUAGAGGAGAUAACGUUUUCUAAGAAUAAUAUCUAACUUGAAACUUCACAGGCAGUCCAACAUGAUAUAAUGAUUUUGAAAUUGCAUUUUAAGCCAUACAUGUCAAGGAUGCAGUUACAACCAUUCAUAUGAUAAAUUAUUAUAAUUUCCAUUAUCUUGUUACAAAGCAUGAAGCAAUACCUAAUUAAUAAUAGAACAUUCUAGCCAGAUUUAUCACUAUUUGUGAGUAGGUGAAUACCUGCUUCUAUUGUCAUAAAAAUAUAUUAACAUGUAGUAGUAGUAAACAUUUUAAGUAUUAAAUAUUUUGUUUGGAAAAAAAAGGGAAAUUGUUUUCAUAAUUAUAUUCUUAAGUUGAGAACUAUUUUAAUUGGCUAUUUAAUGUGUAACACAACAUCAAAUACUGCUAAAGAAUUUAUCCAUACCAUUUUACCAUAUCCAUAGAGGGAAAAAGUGAAAUGUACCCAAAGAAUAUGCUUUCAUUUAUUAACCUUAUGUUCAAAUUUGAUUAUAAUUAAUAAGUAGAUACAUAUAUAUUUACCUAUUUAAUAAAUUUUAUUUUAUGAAAAUCACUGUAUCAAUUUUAUUGAACCACCUAAAAUGCCCUAUGUUUUCUAUCAGUAAGCUUUUUACUCUAAAACUAAUGUGUUAGAAUCACAUAUUAAUAUAUGAACUUUAAUUCCAACAAUAUUUAUACAUUAUCAGUAUCACUGAAAAUAAUAGUGUGGAAAAUAGCAGAAUCCAUAUGUUUAACAUAGAAUUGGUUCAUUGCACAGUCAAAUUGACAGAUAGUUCAGCUGACAACCACUAAUGCAUACUGAGAGAGUACUAGUCACUACUCAUGUCUCAGUCUGGUUCCAUAGAAUAUGACACAGUACUGAUCCACAAUCACCUGCGUUUAAAUCCUCUUUUGCUGGGUGCUGUAUUAACGCUAAUCAACAUUUUGCCAUCUGAACAUUCCUUGAAAUUUCUAAAAAGAAAUAUACCUCCCUACAGUGCACACAUUAAUA